AGAAACUGCCAUCCCUUCCCGGUUCCUAUUUGGACUGCUUUCCGGCAGGAUAUUGCUUCUGCAGCAAAUGCCGACAAGAUAUUUUCAUGGAUUUCUGUACAUGAUAAGAGGAUUUUCCCUUCUGAAUCUCUUACCACAACUCCGGAGGCCGAGCGGUUCUGGCUUUUAUUGAAGGCCCCGUCAAAAUUGAUCUUAAUGAACCCUCCCUGUGGCCUUUUCCAUCUUAUUUUUCCCUCGGUAAAAUUCAGAUCCCUUCUUUCAAGACUAGUGAUCUCACCCAUGUAGCUAUUUAUAAAUUUUGCUACUUCCUUUCCGGUACUAACCUUUCCUUCAUGUACUCUUUUGUUCCUAUCUCCCCAUAUGGCCCAGAGUGCACAACAGAAGAGUCUAUUGUGAUAAAGGUUAAGCUUCUCCAGCACCCAGGUAAUCCACUGUACAAAAUCCUCACAUUGAUUCAUAAUAAUGUUCUGAAAUGAUAAUGCUCUCCAUACCUCAUUUGUAGCAGGACAGUCACGAAAAAGAUGAUUCAUUGUUUCAGCUCCUUCACCGCAACGGGGACAACUUUGGUUAACUGUUAACUUUCGAUGCUGAAGGUUCACCUUUGUAGGCAAAUAGUUCCACGAUAACCUCCAUAUUGUGACCUUUAUUUUUGUUGGUAGACUUAGGCUCCAAAGUUUUUUGUAAAAAUUUCUGUAGAUGGUUUGUAAAGCAUAAGCUUUAGGAUUGUCAAUCGAUCUCUGUAAUAGUUUGUAGGCGCUUCUGAUCGUAAAUUCACCCGACAUCUCACCUCCCAAGAACAUAAAAUCUUCGUGCGGUGUUUGCGCCAGAGGGAUUCUGAGGAUUCUUGCAGCAUCUUCUUCCGUAAAGGUAUUAUUGAUCAACUCUACUUUCCAGCUUCUGUUAUUACUGUCAAUCAACUCCUCAACAUUAGAAACAUGCAAAGAGUUAAUUUCUGAUGAUAAUCUAAAGUUAACUGAAUUUGGAAUCCAAGCGUCAGUAAUAGAUAUAUUAGUACCCAUCCCUACCCUCCAACAAUGCCCUUUUGUUAAUAAAUCUUUGGCUGCCCAAAUACUUUUCCACACAUAAGAACAUGAAUUUCCUAGGCGGGAGUUUAGAAAAUGAGUUUUCGGGAAAUAUUUUGCUUUAAAUACUUGUGUAACGAGGGCGUUCUGAUUAUUCAUAAUCCUCCACCCUUGUUUGGCCAGUAAAGCUAUGUUAAAUUGCGCCAUAUUUCGAAAACCCAUACCACCCUCCUCUUUAGGCCUACACAAAUAGUCUCAUUGACACCAGUGAAUCCCUUUCCUGCCUUUUCCUUUUUGCCACCAAAAUCGAGCAAAUAAACUGUCAAAUUCACUGCAAAGUGACUUUGGCAAUAGAAAACAUGUCAUG
rnacentral:lncRNA from 1 species